AUGAGCGCGAUAAGGGCA
rnacentral:rRNA from 1 species